UACAGAGGGGCAAGCGUUGUUCGGAAUUACUGGGCGUAAAGGGCGCGUAGGCGGCCCGCUAAGUCGAACGUGAAAUCCCCGGGCUCAACCCGGGAACUGCGUCCGAUACUGGUGGGCUUGAAUCCGGGAGAGGGAUGUGGAAUCCCAGGUGUAGCGGUGAAAUGCGUAGAUAUCUGGAGGAACACCGGUGGCGAAGGCGGCAUCCUGGACCGGUAUUGACGCUGAGGCGCGAAAAGCUAGGGGAGCAAACGGG
rnacentral:rRNA from 1 species